CCUACGGGAGGCAGCAGUGAGGAAUAUUGGUCAAUGGGCGGAAGCCUGAACCAGCCAAGUAGCGUGCAGGAUGAAGGCCUACGGGUCGUAAACCGCUUUUGCACGGGGAUAACACCCUCCCCUUGUGGCGGUCUGCAGGUACCGUGCGAAUAAGGGCCGGCUCAUUCCGUGCCAGCAGCCGCGGUAAGACGGGAGGCCCGGGCGUUAUCCGGGUUCAUUGGGGUUAAAGGGGGCGUAGGCGGGCGUUCACGUCGGCUGUAAAAUCGCGCGGCUCAACCGCGCCCCGCCGUUGAAACUGGAGGUCUUGAGUGCACAACAGGCAGGCGGAAUGCGUGGUGUAGCGGUGAAAUGCAUAGAUAGCACGAGGAACCCCGAUUGCGAAGGCAGCCUGCCGGGGCGCGACUGACGCUGAGGCUCGAAGGUGCGGGUAUCAAACAGGAUUAGAUACCCGAGUAGUC
rnacentral:rRNA from 1 species